ACCAGGUUUUCCGAAGGAAAAAACUGGUUAUUAGAUUGGCGAAUGCGGGCGGGCUGGCUGGCUGGCUGGCGGGCUGGCGGAAUAAGCUUGUCCGGGCCAUAACUAUGUCGUUCAUUGUCAGAUUUUAAAAUCAUUUGGCACAUUUGUUCACCAUCAUUGGACGGUGUGUCGCGCGAAAUAAUUACGUCGAUAUCUCCAAGGUCAAGGUCACACUUUGAGUUCAAAGGUCAAAAAUGGCCAUAAAUAAGCUU